UACGUAGGGUGCAGGCGUUAAUCGGAAUUACUGGGCGUAAAGCGUGCGCAGGCGGCUCCUUAAGUCAGAUGUGAAAUCCCCGGGCUUAACCUGGGAACUGCGUUUGAAACUGGGGGGCUUGAGUGUGGAAGAGGGGGGUGGAAUUCCAGGUGUAGCAGUGAAAUGCGUAGAGAUCUGGAGGAACACCGAUGGCGAAGGCAGCCCCCUGGGCCUGUACUGACGCUGAGGAGCGAAAGCCAGGGGAGCAAACGGG
rnacentral:rRNA from 1 species